AGGUAUUUACCAGAUCUAAAAG
rnacentral:misc_RNA from 1 species